rnacentral:rRNA from 1 species
GACGAGUGGCGAACGGGUGAGUAAUGUAUCGGAACGUGCCCAGUAGUGGGGGAUAACUACUCGAAAGAGUGGCUAAUACCGCAUGAGAACUGAGGUUGAAAGCGGGGGACCUUCGGGCCUCGCGCUACUGGAGCGGCCGAUAUCAGAUUAGGUAGUUGGUGGGGUAAAGGCCUACCAAGCCGACGAUCUGUAGCUGGUCUGACGAGGACGACCAAGCCACACUGGGACUGAGACACCGGCCCUUGACUCCUACUGGAGGCAGCAGUGGGCGAAUUUUGGACAAUGGAUGUCAAGUCUGAUCCAGCAAUGCCGCGUGCAGGACGAAGGCCUUCGGGUUGUAAACUGCUUUUGUACAGAACGAAAAGGCUCUGGUUAAUACCUGGGGCUCAUGACGGUACUGUAAGAAUAAGCACCGGCUAACUACGUGCCAGCAGCCGCGGUAAUACGUAGGGUGCGAGCGUUAAUCGGAAUUACUGGGCGUAAAGCGUGCGCAGGCGGUUUUGUAAGACCGAUGUGAAAUCCCCGGGCUCAACCUGGGAACUGCAUUGGUGACUGCGAGGCUGGAGUGCGGCAGAGGGGGAUGGAAUUCCGCGUGUAGCAGUGAAAUGCGUAGAUAUGCGGAGGAACACCGAUGGCGAAGGCAAUCCCCCUGGGCCCGCACUGACGCUCAUGCACGAAAGCGUGGGGAGCAAACAGGAUUAGAUACCCUGGUAGUCCACGCCCUAAACGAUGUCAACUGGUUGUUGGGUAUUUGCUUACUCAGUAACGAAGCUAACGCGUGAAGUUGACCGCCUGGGGAGUACGGCCGCAAGGUUCAAACUCAAAGGAAUUGACGGGGACCCGCACAAGCGGUGGAUGAUGUGGUUUUAUUUCGAUGCAACGCGAAAAACCUUACCCACCUUUGACAUGGCAGCGAGGUGCGGAGAAGAUUUGAGAGGUGCUCGGGAGGAGAACAUGCACACAGGUGCUGCAUGGCUGUCGAUCAGCUCGUGUCGUGAGAUGGUUGGGUUAAGUCCCGCAACGAGCGCAAGCCCUUGCCAUUAGUUGCUACAAAAGGGGCACUCUAAUGGGACUGCCGGUGACAAACCGGAGGAAGGUGGGGAUGACGUACAAGUCCUCAUGGCCCUUAUAGGUGGGGCUUACACACGGUCAUACAAUGGCCGGUACAAAGGGUAGCCAACCCGCGAGGGGGAGCCAAUCCCAUAAAGCCGGUCGUAGUCCGGAUCGCAGUCUGCAACUCGACUGCGUGAAGUCGGAAUCGCUAGUAAUCGUGGAUCAGCAUGUCACGGUGAAUACGUUCCCGGGUCUUGUACACACCGCCCGUCACACCAUGGGAGCGGGUUCUGCCAGAAGU